UCUCUAAAUGUAAAUUUCACGUGAUUUAAAACAAUUUUCUGAUGAUUUAAGAUAAACUCGGUUUUUCAGCGUAAAUUUCACGUGAUCUAGAAGGAUGUACGGUGGCGUCUAGUCCUGGUUUGGACUAUGGCUCUGUUCGUUUGCCUGUCGCUGGCGACUAAAACCAGCGACAACAACCAAAAGUUGUUCGUUUGCCUGUCGCUGGUUCAGCGACCAAAAGUAGCGACAGUCGCCAGCGAUCAGCGACCGCAAUUUUUGGUCGCUGAAAUUUUUAGCGAUCAGUCGCUGGUUUCAGCGAUUAGUCGCUGCUUUUGGUCGCUGGAUCCAGCGACAAGCAAACGAACAACUUAGCGAUCAAAAAAUAUAAAUUAAUAAAUAAUUAAAAA
rnacentral:sRNA from 1 species